AACGCUGGCGGCGUGCCUAACACAUGCAAGUCGAACGAAGCACUUCUGGAUUGAGAUUCGUCAAGAUCCGGAUUUGACUUAGUGGCGGACGGGUGAGUAAUACAUGAGCAACCUGCCCUGGAGUGGGGGACAACAGUUGGAAACGACUGCUAAUACCGCAUAAUGUAUCCGUAAGGCAUCUUGUGGAUACCAAAGAUUUAUUGCUCUGGGAUGGGCUCAUGUCUGAUUAGCUAGUUGGUGGGGUAACGGCUCACCAAGGCUGCGAUCAGUAGCCGGACUGAGAGGUUGAACGGCCACAUUGGGACUGAGAUACGGCCCAGACUCCUACGGGAGGCAGCAGUGGGGAAUAUUGGGCAAUGGGCGAAAGCCUGACCCAGCAACGCCGCGUGAAGGAAGAAGGCCUUCGGGUUGUAAACUUCUUUUAUGAGGGACGAACAAAUGACGGUACCUCAUGAAUAAGCCACGGCUAACUACGUGCCAGCCGCCGC
rnacentral:rRNA from 1 species